rnacentral:rRNA from 1 species
AUAACGUAGCGAAAGUUACGCUAAUUUCCCAUACGAUCUAAGGAUGAAAGUGGGGGAUCGCAAGACCUCAUGCUCCUGGAGCGGCCGAUAUCUGAUUAGCUAGUUGGUGAGGUAAUGGCUCACCAAGGCGACGAUCAGUAGCUGGUCUGAGAGGACGACCAGCCACACUGGAACUGAGACACGGUCCAGACUCCUACGGGAGGCAGCAGUGGGGAAUUUUGGACAAUGGGCGCAAGCCUGAUCCAGCAAUGCCGCGUGAGUGAAGAAGGCCUUCGGGUUGUAAAGCUCUUUUGUCAGGGAAGAAACGGUUGGGGCUAAUAUCCCCGGCUAAUGACGGUACCUGAAGAAUAAGCACCGGCUAACUACGUGCCAGCAGCCGCGGUAAUACGUAGGGUGCAAGCGUUAAUCGGAAUUACUGGGCGUAAAGCGUGCGCAGGCGGUUUUGUAAGUCUGACGUGAAAUCCCCGGGCUCAACCUGGGAAUUGCGUUGGAGACUGCAAGGCUAGAGUCUGGCAGAGGGGGGUAGAAUUCCACGUGUAGCAGUGAAAUGCGUAGAGAUGUGGAGGAACACCGAUGGCGAAGGCAGCCCCCUGGGUCAAGACUGACGCUCAUGCACGAAAGCGUGGGGAGCAAACAGGAUUAGAUACCCUGGUAGUCCACGCCCUAAACGAUGUCUACUAGUUGUCGGG